UACGGGGGGAGCAAGCGUUGUUCGGAUUUACUGGGCGUAAAGGGCGCGUAGGCGGCCACCGCAAGUCGAUUGUGAAAUCUCCGGGCUUAACCCGGAAAGGUCAACCGAUACUGCGGGGCUAGAGUGCAGAAGGGGCAACUGGAAUUCUCGGUGUAGCGGUGAAAUGCGUAGAUAUCGGGAGGAACACCGGUGGCGAAGGCGGUUCUCUGGGCCUUACCUGACGCUGAGGAGCGAAAGCGUGGGGAGCGAACAGG
rnacentral:rRNA from 1 species